rnacentral:lncRNA from 1 species
AGCAGAAGCAUUCAUUUCUCAAAAGCAAAGGUUCUUUCUCACAUAUUUUUACCUAGAUAUUCCAGAUGAAGGAGGGCCUUAUUGGUAAGUCUCAUUUCCCAAGGAAUCAAGACGUCUGGAAUCCAGGAUACCAGAAGAGAUAACAGUUUUGCAAAAAAGGAAAGGUCCUCAUCAAUGAAGAUCCAAAGAAAGAAGGCCCAUGUGUGGGAUAUAGAUGUUUUAAGUAGGAUACAGUAAACUAUGAGGAACCAGUAAGUCGUGCCAGAAAUUUAUCCUCGUAUUUGAUGAAAAAACAAGCAAACAAACAAACUCUGAAGGAAAGGAGAGGAAAAGAAGAAGCGAGGAAUAAA